CAAGCCGAAACCCGACACUCAGCCAAACUCAAUCUCUGUGGGCUCAUCCAAUCUCCCCUCCAUCUGCUCCGCUCUCCAUCGACCUUUCCUGAUUAAGCUGCUGUUUCCUGAGAAUCUUCGCCGAUCCAAAAACUAUCUCUCUGUCAAAACUUUUCAAUAAACUAUCUAAACCGCUUCCAGUUUCGUGUUGUGUCUGCGCCAGAGUCAACUCUAGAAUCAUGUCAGAACCGACUGGCCAGCAAGACUCUGCAGCACAACUACGAACCGCUCUAUCUGAACAGGGAGUUCUCCUCGGCCGGCACGAUUCGGCUAUCUCUACUAUUGCUCAGCAACAAACCUCACUCAUGCAAACCCUUAGCCAACUGUCACUCCAACUUCUUCCAGGUCUCCCAUGCCUAGAGACGUUGUUUUGCCCACCCCGGAGCCAUUCAGCGGCGACCUGAACAAGAGCAAAGGAUU